UACAGAGGGUGCGAGCGUUGUCCGGAAUCACUGGGCGUAAAGGGCGCGUAGGUGGCGUGGUAAGCGUGCGGUGAAAUCGCGGGGCUCAACCCCGCGCCGGCCGUGCGAACUGCCGCGCUCGAGCACUGUAGAGGCGGGUGGAAUUCCGGGUGUAGCGGUGGAAUGCGUAGAGAUCCGGAAGAACACCGGUGGCGAAGGCGGCCCGCUGGGCAGUGGCUGACACUGAGGCGCGACAGCGUGGGGAGCAAACAGG
rnacentral:rRNA from 1 species